GAAAAACCUGCAUAGAAGCAAGCAGCAUUUGUCAUCAGCAGUUGAUUCAUCUAGUAACAAACAAGGAUUUACUGUGGUACAAAGAACAUGGCCUGUAACUUUCUCCUGGUGUGGCUCUGGAGCGGGCACAAAACCUCCAGAUAGAGGCACCUCAUCUAGAACAUUCUAUUUAACCAGAGGGCUUCAGCUUGGCUGGGCUGAGGUUGCAGUCUGUCCCUUUCCAUAGUGAUAAGGUGAGGAACUUUUUGCUACGCUUCUGCUUUCAAAAGCGGGCAUUGUUAUUGGAAGUUCUGACAUCCAGGACCCUGCUCGUUUGUUUCUGAAAAGCUAUAGUACUUCCCAAUGGCUACUGGAAGUUAACUGAGACUGUACUGAGUAUCUGCAGCACGACUAGCACUUGGCUACCAAAGAACCACUUAUCUCAGCAAUUCCACCUAGGUCGUGCAGCCAAAAGGGUGACCACACCUGACUUAAGGAAUAAUGCAUCUAUUGUGUAAGAGCAGAAGUAAACCUCACCCUCAUUUCUGUCUCGUUCUGUGCACGGCUUGGACUGACAAACUGGAGGUAUCAACUCGUUGGUGUUCCCGUGAGGCAGACCACUGGCUGGCACUGAGCUCUGUCCUACACAAAUCGAGGAGUUCAGGCUGCCUCUGCAGGGAGCCCGGUGCAGGCAGGGGAAAGCUGCAGCUGUUUGCCAUCAGCCUGAACCACACAGCACGAAGGAGAAAGGGAACUCUGCUGUGGUGAACUGCUGACUGACAGGAGGGCGCUCCUAGCAUGGAGCUGCACCAUACUUGAGAGACCCACAGACGAGCAGCCAGAGCUACUCCACCAUUUCCAUGCAGCCGGUCUCACCUGAGGCAGCACUUUGGUCUGCGUGGCUGUAGCUGGAACACGGAUCUGAGGCACUGACGUAGGCUGCUGCUGCUGCUGCGUUACCACUGGUGCUUGCUGAGACACAGCUGGGAGGCUGGACUGGGCACUGACCACUCGGACCUGCGGCAACACUGACGACGCAGUAUGACUUACCACCCGGGUGGGAGGUGGCUGCGGCCCAGGCUGGGUCUGUGAACUCUGGGCUGUGGAAAGCAACGUCCCAAGCUGCGGCAUGGUAGGGGAUGAAACCAGAAGAACACUACAGAAAAGAGAAAGCCAGUAGGUCAGCAGUGGUGUAGGAGGUGACUGAGAAAGAACCAGUAAUAUUCACAAGUGACGUAUGAGACAGAAGGAGAGCAUACCUUUGGCUGGGUUUUGCUGGCUCUGAUCCAGCACUAGGUACAUUCUUGCUAACCACAGACACUGGUGGGGGGGAAAUAGGUGUUGCUGGUAAUGCUGGUGCAGUAGGUGUCACAGGGGUCACGGGAGUUGGCGGCAUGCUGGAGUCACUAAGGCUCAGCUGAGCAGGCUCUGAUGUGCUGCUGGGGAGUGCUUUCACAGAACUCUCCUUGUUACUCGAUUUCUGCAGAGAAACCAAGUCAAAGUGAAGGUCUUUGCAGAAACCGGCUGCGAUUGUUGCACUGUAAGAAUGGACUGAGCACUUCAAACUAUAGAAUUACAAAUGAUGCCAUGGUGCAAAAUCCUGAAAUCACAGACAGUGCUCCUUCUGCCUUCCUCAAUGGCAGCCACAAGUGGGCUGGUCAGUUUGGCUUCCUGUUCUAAGGGAGAAUGCAUCUCAGCAGCGAGAAGCAUUCAUAACAGUCAGAUGUCCACUCUGGUUAAUUUGCCAGCUGUGACUAUUUUACAGAUAUUUGGUAUCAAUGCCAAAAAAUAAAAGAAAGACAUCCAAAUUCUCACAGCUUCAGCAUACCAAGAGGGAGAAUAGCAGGCAUGUUUCACAUGCUCUGCUACAGAUUAAUCUCAAAACAGGAUCUAAAGAGACCACCUCUAAGAGAGGGAGCACAAGGAAACUUGUUGACCUUCCUGCCAAGAUCAAUAUGGGCAAUAGCAGACACUGGGAGAAGCAAAGUUCCCUCUUUUCUUCUACAUACUGUGCGCUGGUACCAGACUAACUCUCACAUACAUGUACAGAACAAACUGUUAGCUCAAAAGGGAAAUUAAAUGAACAGGUGGCAAUUUUCAUCAGCCUCAAUGGGUGCAAGAUUUACAGAUUAAGUUAAAUCCGUAUCUCACUCUCAAUCACAAAAGCAUCUGUGCAAAUCUGUGCAAAGAAAUUUACCACUUUUGCCGGAGGUUUCGGCUUCUGCUGGAGAGCUUUCUUGGCCUUUGCUGCAGCAGCUUGAGCCUGGUGGAUCCGUUCUGCAAAUACAAAGUAAUGGUUAGGGUUCCUGAACACAAGCAAAUUUACUUAAGAAAGUGGCCAUCCAAACCUCUAAGUUCAUCUUCAGGCAAGAAAUACAACACACAUCCACACAGGUACACGUAAUAGCACAUUAAAAAAAGCCAAAAACCCACUAAACAAAAUUAGCCCAAAAAGGCUGAAAUGAAGAUGUGUUGAUGUUGUCAAUGGACAUCCAUCUGCAGUUCUCGUACAAAGGAUGCUAUUCUUCUAACAAAUACUCACUAUAAACUAACAUACUGCUCUGCAAGACUGUAUGUAAGUGUUGAUGGGCUAACACUAACAAAGACUAGAGAAAAAAAGCUAGACUGAUGAAUUAAUGUUCAUUAUUCAACUAGGAUAAAGAAGCUCAAGAGCAUGGCAAACGCUCUUGAAAAAACAGGGUGAAAUAUACAGACAUUUUCAGUUCUGUAGAUCAUGAGGGAACAGGGCAGUCCCACCAAGCCAGGCUUACCAAACUCUUCCUCACUCCUGUCCCGGUGCAGGUAGAUCCACAACUUGCGUCCAAUGUCGUAUUUAACACAGGGAUCUUUCUCGUAAUGUAAUCGAUCCAAAGCACCACUAACAACAGUGUUAACCUGAAAAUUCAGAAUUCACUGUAUUACAGAACAGCCAGGCUGGGGUAGCUAGAGCUCAUGUAUAGAAAAUUCAAACCCAUUCAGCAUUAAACCAGAGUAAGUCGCAGGCAAUCUAAAUGUGAGGAAGAACUGACUAAGAGCAGAAGUUGCCCUGCAGGGUGCUGCUUGCCAUCUUGGAUUAAACGGAGCUUUGACAAACCCAAGGGCUCUGAAAAAUCGAUUAUUUCUGAAUUUAUACUGUAAGCAGCUCUAUGCAUGACGUGGUGUUAAUUCUGUGUUUUUUCUCCCAGACGACAUCCAACUUACUUGAGCACUUGUGACAUCAGGAGCUAGGAACUGGGAAUCUUUAAGCAGCUCGCAAAUUUCAGCACGAGUUCCUUCUCCAUUAGGAAGUCGAGCAGCAGCAUCACGAACUGAAAUAGAAAAUCAGAGCUUAAACUUCCAGCCCUAACGAAGGAGCUGUACUCAAAUACUUCAGCAGAUAUGUUUCUGUGUUGCUUUUCCAUCUCCACUGUACAGUGCCCUCUUACUCAAUGAAAUCUAGGCCCAGUGAUCCCUCAGGGCCUCUGAAGUCUAUAUGAGCAGAGAUUACAAACCAUCAUUUUAAAGUACACCAACUGUGCUGGCUUGGAGUCAGGAGCAAUGAACACAGGGACCAGCACUCAACUUCACAACAGCACACUUAAAACAUUGCUUUUUGUUUUCCAAUUAUCUGAGCCUUAGCUUCCACCAGCCUCGUGAACUCUCCUCUCCAUUUCCCAUUUUCUCGCAGAAGAAAAGUAAAACACAGCUGUCUUCUCUUCUAGUAAUACCUGCUCCCAGCAUUUCACCAUCAUUAUCUCAUGCAAUUUAUUUCUUCUUCAUUUAUGUCGUAUCAGUCCAUCCACCUUUUUCCUUUAUAACGUAGAUUCCUAAAGUCACUAUUUGGGUGGACAAAAGUGCCUUUUAAUUAGAAAAUAAAUACAUUAAUGAAUAACUGUCAGAGGACGCAGUCACCUUACCAAGGGACAAGAUGGUGACGUAUGCUGGUCUGUCUGAUCGCAGGAGGGAAUGCUCUCGGGCUUUGUUCAGUGAUGUUUCCUUGUCAAACACCCCCUUCACAGGACCAACAACGGACUCGAAGCCGUGCAUACGGAACGUGAAAGCUUUGUGGGGCUGGCUGUAACGAUAACGUUCCUGUGUUUUGAAACAAGAGAACUGAAUUUAGCAGGACGCAUAUAGAGCAAAGUCUUGAGGCUUGUAAUUGCUGUUAUAAUAUAGCUUAAGUUACUGGCAUUCUCUAGAUAGUUCUUUAAUUAAACACUCAAAUAGUGUGGAACAAACAUAGUUUGGAUCAAGACAAGUAUGAACUACUUCAUACUGCUGAAUAUAAAGCAACGCCUAGACAAAGUGACCAGGUGCAAUAUAGUGGGUUCACUGUUAACCAGCUGCACAGACUACAGAAGUGCCAGUGCCAGGCAUUACACCCAGCGAGCACCUCUUCUCCCAGCAGCAACGUGCCACUUCUUCCUCCUCUCAUCUGCUAAAAGAUUUCCAGAAUUUAUUCUACCACACAAACAGCACAUAUACCCAGAGAGAAGAACACUCACCACAUUUACCCUCUAAUAAACACAUUCUUCCAGCAAGGCCACAAGCCUUAAAGACACAAUGAAACUUGUGUCUACUACAGACAAGGUAACUAAAUGUAUGAGUGCACUUAUUCUGCCACUUGUCUUCUGCUUUUUGCACUCAUACAUGUUCAAAAAAUAUAGAUACGUCAUCUUCAUUUGCUGGGAGAUGGCAAAGGAGAUAGAAAUGUUGGCAUUAACAGAAUCAAUUAAUUUUCCUGAUAUUCGUUGGAAACAUAGGGGUUUUCGAAAUUAGCAGUCUGGAUAUGUUGCUAGCAAGUUCUAUCUGAGGCUGAAAUACCUACUUCAAGAAGAAGGAACACAUCAACCAUUUGUACCAACAAAGUUUUUGGAGAGUAUACAACUCUCAUACCAUACAAAUUCUCUUGCUUUAAUGGCCAACUCUUCGGAAGAUUCUCUUUUUACCUGCUCCUGGAACACACGUUUCUCCUCUCCAGUGCUAGGUCGGACUACGUAGUCAGUCCUUCUGAAACAAAGGCCACCAUCAGUUUUGAGCAACAAGCCCACAGUAAUCCCAAAAACUACCCCAAAGGAUUAGCCACCUCAUCCUUACUGCAAAUUCUUUUAGCACCAAAGAAAAAGCUCUGAAAGCUUUUAUACUGGUAUAAAUAAGUCCUGCAGAGACCUUAAAAUACGAUCUAUAGUCUGAAAAUAAGCCAGGACUGUAAGCAAUCUAGUAAUGAGGACACACAUCAGGCCAGAGGUCUGCUUGGGUAACAGGUGAAUUUGGGAAAAACUGAGCUGAGUUUGCAAUGUCUAGUUAUUUUAUUUAUAAACUCUGACCACAAAUUCCCUCCUCCCAUAUGAUGCAGAAUUUUUCUUUGAAGUAACCAGAUCUUCAGAUCUAGAGGUACAAGGACCAAACUCCAUAGCUUUAGCACAUACUGUGACAGUUUAAAAGCAGUAUUAUACACUUACACUCUAGGAAUCGGUGUUGUGGCAUCUGAGCUGUCUUCAUUUUCCUAUCAAAAAAACACAGAAAUGUCAGUGUUGGAUACAACCCAGUCAGGCUUUGUGCUGCUAAAAGACCAUUUUCUUCUGACUCACUUUGAAGAAAGUCUGAUCCUUGGUCUCCAACCAGAGCUGAAACAGUGCUGCCAAUUCCUUCUCAUGAUCCUGGCAAGAACCUAGUCCAAGAAAUCAAGAAACAUGGGAAAUGAAAAUUAUUUGUUAUGAAGCCAGCUGCUUGUACUUCCCAGUCACCUCCUACUCCCUUCUAACCUCCAUGCAUCACCAGUCACAAGGCACCUUACAUACUUCAUAGAUGCUCCAGUUUCACUACUUGAACACAUUCAGGCACAGCAAAGGGCUACAACCUAAUAAAUCCCCUGACCUCAUAUGAAGGAUAAUGCUUCAACUCCAAGAACUAUUGGAAAAGACACUGCUUGCAAUAUGGCCACUUGACGUUUGCAGGUGGUCUCCACUUUCCAAAGAAAACUCAGUCAACGAGACCCCAAGCAGAAAUAAGUGUCUACAUAACCUGCACCAAAGAGUAUGAAAAGGAGCAGAGGAAUACCACAGAACAACAGAAUCUCAGAAUCUUUAAGGUUGGAAGAGACCUCUAAGAUCAUCAACUCCAACCUGACUCCAAAACUUAGCCAGUUUAAGCCUGAGAAUAUGAUCAAGAGUCACUAUAGCUAAGAAUAGAAAAAUCUGCCUAGUAGCUAAAGCUGAAGUAAAAAAUGCAAAGCAUCUGUAAUUCACACAAUAUGAGCCUGGGCAAAUUUCUUAUUAAUUUGCUCUUUGGUUCCUGCUUGUAAAAUGGGAAUAAUAUCAGCUUGCUUCUCAGAGAAGCUUAAAUUAUUUAUAAUUGUAAUUAAGAAUUAGUCUGAAUAAUCAGAAAGUAUGCUCUACAGAAUGGAAAAUAGGAAGGCGUUCAGAAAGAUCUGAGGGGUGACAAACAUGGCUGUGUCAGCAACAGAAAGGAGAAAAGCCCAGCGCCUUUGAUCACUUACUCCUUCUAUUGCUGAAAAUAAUGUCUCAUGAAAGUAUUGGAUGUGAAACACAUUUCUGCUCAGCUAAAAGAAUACAAAAGGCCUAACCACUGAAAUCACAGAUCUGCUGGACUUCAUCUCUGAGCUACAGCAAGCAAAAAAGAAGAGUCUUGGAGAAAACAACCGAUCCUUAGCACAGUAGAAAUCAUAGAAAAGUGCAAGUUACCGAGCAAUUUCCACUGCUGAGUUUUUUCCUUGAAUUCAACAAAAGGUGAGAAGUUGGAUGGAACAUCUACAAAGAAAGAUGUGCAGUUCAGAAACAUCACACAACAGCGCAACCCCCAGAAUUCUACAGCUGCAAUGCAAACUGCUGAGUCAGACUCACAGUGACAGGGUAUUAAGAGGUUACAUAAGCACAUCACCGAAUGCACACUUGCCCAAUGGGAAGGUCAGCAUCUCCUGAGUAACAGUGCAAGCUCAAGAACAGAACAGGAGAACGAGACUUUCAUCUACCAGCUGUCAGAUGAGAUCCCAGGAACUGUUGCUGUAUGGUAACUAUCCCUGGGCUUGUGUUGAAACAUACUUGAGAUUUACAGUAAUCAUCAUCACUGUGGAGAACAUUAAGUAUCCAUUUCGCAAAGGCCACUACAAUCUACGUUGUCCCUCCAUUUAAAACUAAGCAAAUCAGAACCAUAGAAUAAAUCAGUUUAAAAGGAUCAAGGUGAAUUUAGCUGGUCCAAGCCCCAGGUAAAAGCUGGGCCAACUUCCUGUAUUCAGUGGAUAGCUCAGAGCAUCAUCUAGUUUAAUUAUCUCCAAAGACAACCGCAGUCUCUUUGUACCUGCUUCAAACAUGCUGCCUUAAGCUCAUGAUCUGAACAGGAGAAACUGCCUGUUUCAGUUUCACAUUCAUUCGAAUCAAGCUGGGUCUUAUCAAGCUGGGUCCACAUGCAAAUGAAGUCUACCACAAUCAAGAAAAAAACCAUAAGACCUAUUACACUGUAAACAGUACAAUGACUUACUGUACUGAUGAAUUAAAGACUGACUGGAGCUGUAAUGUAAACCAGCACCGAUUAGAACUGAUGUACAAGCACCAUUAGUGUUUCUGACAGCUAUUCUUACCUCUGCUGUCACCUGUCAGAUACUGCAAAGCAGGUAAAACCAGUUCAGACCAGUUAGGGGCAAAGGAGAACCAGUUAUUCAGCGCGCUGGCAGGAGAAGUUUGCCAAUCUAUAAUUUUAUCCUCAAGCUGGAAAGAAAAAGUAAGCAUGAAUAAGCUAUGAAUGUUUUAUUAGAAAACAAAACAGCUAAACAUGCACUGGGAAAAGAAGAUUUUAUACUGACAAAAAAAGAUCACCUGACUUUUGCAAGUAACUGUAAGAUGGUAUUUCAGAAAACAGCAAAAAUGGGAGAAAAACUCCCCACUGUCACCGGCCUUAAUACACAGAACUUAUCUAAUCGUGACCUAAAUAGCAGGUAUGGAACGACUUAUGAAGGCAAUUAAUUAAAUUUAUGAAACUCAUUAAAAACUGAAUGCGGUAUGCACUCUCAAAUACUUGCAAUUUUUUACCAUGGAACCCACACACUACUGCGACUUAGGGCAGGAUGCUUCUGGAGAAAAUCUCUAUUACACAGCUACAAAAGAACUCUAUAUAAUUUUACUUUCCGAGAAGAGUCUUAAACAUGUGGGUGGUUCUCACCACAGAGAGACUGGCAGGUCCUUCCAGAAACAGUAUCUCCAAAAGAAGGGAAAAGAAACUGGAAGAUAUUUCAUUUAUUCCAAGGCACGGCUUCAUCUCUUCAAGAGGUCUUCAAAUGAAAGAAAACACAAGCAAAGUGUAAGCAUCCUGAGUUUAUAUACGCAUGAGAUCGUAUCUAUAUAUCACAUCCAUCUUCAUAGACAGAGUAUAUGGAGUUGAACACCCCUCAUUUUAUAUGGUACAAAGUGUUCCAGGCAUUUUGAAGCACUUACUCCUCUUUGACAGAUGACAGAGGGAUGGGGGAAUGAUCUUGAGACAGCGAUGGGAUCCCAUGUGCACUGCUGAACGAAUCAGCCAAAUCUUCCGCCUCUGAUUUAAUGAUCUUCAGCUUUUUUUUCUUCUUGUCAUCCUUUUCCUUCAUCUUUUUCUUGAAGGUUGCAAGGUCAAAUAAAGCUUUAGAGAUUAUAAAAGGAAAGUUCCAGUUCCUGCACCAACAUACAUUAAAUUAGAAAAGUGAAGGUAACUGCCCAGAGCAGACAUGCAAAUUAAUUUCAUCAAUUAGCUGGAAGCACCUUCAAUGGAAAGUGGAGCUACCUGUGUGCAAUCCAAACUUAAAAUCCCAGAGUAGCUAGCCAGGAAGGCAAAGAGCAAAAGAAUACAACGUUCAGUAGAGACUACCUCCACCCUUAGCAUUUCAUAGUCACAGAGCACCCUGUAUUUAUGCAACCUGCAAGCCCUGCUUCCAGCCACUGACCUGCUAAGGAACCUUUCCUGCCAGCGUUAACACGAGUCAUAAUGUCCUCAAGAGUAAUGUCGGCCGUCACUAAAUCUGGGUGGUCCUACGUGGGACAAGGGGACAGAAAGGAAAAUCAGGAAAGGUUAAAAUGCUGUGUUAGCAACAAAGGUACAGAAGAUAAUCAAACACUGGAACACCUCAGACUUAUCCAGGAUCAGCUUACAAGUUAACCACUGCAACAGAAACAGGGAAGCCUUGCAAUCCCCAAACUGAAAAUCACGUGUCUCAACAACACAUCAGGAAAAUUACAGAAUACUUCUAAACAGAUAACCAUAAACAAGGGAUGCACAUAUCCAUCAACGAUUGCAUGUAAUUAUGGUAUGGAAUGGAAGGGUGGCCACACAUGCUUCUUGUCAGGUCCCAAAACUUCUUGUUAUCUUACAGGUUGAUAUUUUCGUUUCUCGCGGUGUUUCCUCAGCAUCAUCUUCAAAUCACUUUCACCAAGUUCUAUUCUGUCUGCAAUGAAAGAAGUCAGAGAUAAUAUGCUUGUCUUGUUUUGCUUUGUUACUUUACAGACUUAAAAUGCCGUUUUCUAUUCAUUCUCACUCUCAACAACCUCCAACUUACAGUAAAUAAAUUUUCCUUGAUAAUUUGAAACUCUUUUCAUCAACCAGUUUAUUGUAACACUUUCUACCUUGGUUCGUUAGAUUAAUUGCUAAUGCAAGUAUGGAAGUAAAAAGAAGUGACAAUUGAA